rnacentral:rRNA from 1 species
AUUGAACGCUGGCGGCAGGCCUAACACAUGCAAGUCGAACGGUAACAGGAAGCAGCUUGCUGCUUCGCUGACGAGUGGCGGACGGGUGAGUAAUGUCUGGGAAGCUGCCUGAUGGAGGGGGAUAACUACUGGAAACGGUCGCUAAUACCGCAUAAUGUCGCAAGACCAAAGAGGGGGACCUUCGGGCCUCUUGCCAUCGGAUGUGCCCAGAUGGGAUUAGCUUGUUGGUGGGGUAACGGCUCACCAAGGCGACGAUCCGUAGCUGGUCUGAGAGGAUGACCAGCCACACUGGAACUGAGACACGGUCCAGACUCCUACGGGAGGCAGCAGUGGGGAAUAUUGCACAAUGGGCGAAAGCCUGAUGCAGCCAUGCCGCGUGUAUGAAGAAGGCCUUCGGGUUGUAAAGUACUUUCAGAGGGGAGGAAGGGAGUAAAGUUAAUACCUUUGCUCAUUGACGUUACCCGAAGAAGAAGCACCGGCUAACUCCGUG